rnacentral:tRNA from 1 species
AUUUUAUUAGUAUAAUUCAAGUAUUUUUGUUUUCCAAACAAAAGGUUUAAUAAAAAAAUUAAAUAAAAUA